rnacentral:misc_RNA from 1 species
CCAAUAGCGUAUAUUAAAGUUGUUGCAGUUAAAAAGCUCGUAGUUGAACUUCGGGGUCUACCCAUUGGUCAGGCUUAAUUGUCUGUACUGGUGAGAUGGAUCUCUACCUUCUGAGGAACUUUCAUGCCAUUUAUUUGGUGUGGUUGGAAAUCAGGACUGUUACUUUGAAAAAAUUAGAGUGUUUAAAGCAGACUAUCGUCUGAAUACAUUAGCAUGGAAUAAUGAAAUAGGACGGACUGAUUCUAUUUCGUUGGUUUCUAGGAUCACCGUAAUGAUUAAUAGGGAUAGUUGGGGGAAUUAGUAUUCAAUUGUCAGAGGUGAAAUUCUUGGAUUUAUUGAAGACUAACUACUGCGAAAGCAUUUGCCAAGGAUGUUUUCAUUAAUCAAGAACGAAAGUUAGGGGAUCGAAGACGAUCAGAUACCGUCGUAGUCUUAACCAUAAACUAUGCCGACUAGGGAUCGGACGAAGUUAAUUUUAUAAUGACGCGUUCGGCACCUUACGGGAAACCAAAGUGUUUGGGUC